CAGUGUGUAGUAGUGGUUUGAGCGUUGGAUUACAAUUCUGGAGAUCAGGGUUCGAUUUCCUGCUCAGCGA